AUUGAACGCUGGCGGCAUGCUUUACACAUGCAAGUCGAACGGCAGCGCGGGCUUCGGCCUGGCGGCGAGUGGCGAACGGGUGAGUAAUGCAUCGGAACGUGCCCAGUAGUGGGGGAUAGCCCGGCGAAAGCCGGAUUAAUACCGCAUACGACCUGAGGGUGAAAGCGGGGGACCGAAAGGCCUCGCGCUAUUGGAGCGGCCGAUGUCGGAUUAGCUAGUUGGUGGGGUAAAGGCUUACCAAGGCGACGAUCCGUAGCUGGUCUGAGAGGACGACCAGACACACUGGGACUGAGACACGGCCCAGACUCCUACGGGAGGCAGCAGUGGGGAAUUUUGGACAAUGGGGGCAACCCUGAUCCAGCCAUGCCGCGUGCGGGAAGAAGGCCUUCGGGUUGUAAACCGCUUUUGUUCGGGAAGAAAUACUCUGGGCUAAUACCCCGGGGGGAUGACGGUACCGGAAGAAUAAGCACCGGCUAACUACGUG
rnacentral:rRNA from 1 species